GAUGAUGGCACUACACCAGCCUAUCUGCAUCUGCACCCUCUCCUCUGAAUCUGAUCUUCCUUACUCCCUUUCUUUGUUGAGAGAGAGAGAGAGAGAGAGAGAGAGAGAGAGAGAGAGAGAGAGAGAGAGAGAGAGACAUGGCGGAACUCAAGCUCAAGCUCAUGGUGCCACCAGCCCUGUGCUUGCUGCUGCUGAUCAUGCCACCACUCCUACUUCCCCCUGGAUGUGCCGCCACUCGUCUUGAUCCCACCCAAGGGCCAUCUGAGGGCAACAACAAGACCUGCACGGAGCUGAGCAAGAGGAGCCCCAUUCUCUACUGCGAGCACCACGCAUGCGUCUACAACUGCCGUAUCGAGGGCUUCGCCGAGGGAGGGUUUUGCAACUGGCUGCGCUGCCUCUGCAAGAGGCCCUGCUGAAUGUGACGAUGCUGCUUCAGGAUGUUGCCAGUGAUGCAGCUAGUAAAUAAGUAAGAUGCAUCAAAGUGUUGAUGUGCAUUUUCGCAAAAGAAAAAUAAGUGGUGAUGCGCAAGUUGUAACCGCAACAAACUUCCUUCUCUAAUACUAUUUGUCAACUCCCA